AUGAAUGUUGAUGCGGCAGUGGCCCGUCAUCGACAUGGGGGAGCGGGGUCAGCAGUGUGCAGGGAUCAUACAGGGCUAUACAUGGGAUCAUCGGCACUAGUGAUCCGGGGCAUUUCCGACCCAACGAUGCUGGAGACGUUUGCAUGCAGGGAAGCACUGGCCCUGGCGAAGGAUCUCGGCGUUUCAAGCUUAGUGGUGGCAUCGGACUGUCUUGGAGUGAUCAGAGACAUCAACCUGGGAACAAGAGGACCACAUGCAACGGUGGUACAUGAAAUAAUGGAGCGGAGAAGAAGUUUUACCUCAUGUUCUUUUAUUCACGAGCUUAGGAACCACAACUUUGAAGCUCAUAAUCUUGCCAAAUUUUGUAAUCUUGGUCUAGGUAGAAAUGUGUGGUUGGGUGCCCCCCAUGACCCGAACCAUGUACCUAUGAACAUUCUUGAAGUUUAA
rnacentral:rRNA from 1 species